UACGUAGGGUGCGAGCGUUGUCCGGAAUUAUUGGGCGUAAAGAGCUCGUAGGCGGUGUGUCACGUCGUUCGUGAAAACCUGCAGCUUAACUGUGGGCGUGCGGUCGAUACGGGCAUCACUGGAGUUCGGCAGGGGAGACUGGAAUUCCUGGUGUAGCGGUGAAAUGCGCAGAUAUCAGGAGGAACACCGGUGGCGAAGGCGGGUCUCUGGGCCACUACUGACGCUGAGAAGCGAAAGCAUGGGGAGCGAACAGG
rnacentral:rRNA from 1 species